AGAUGAUGACCCCCCAUUGAUGUUAUGAGGAAACUUAUCAGAGUUUGAUCGCUUUCUCUUGAUGACGAUGAUCCAUGUAAUGACUUCAAGGACGACGGCGACGGCGCCCAAGAAGAUGAUGACUCCGGUGUAAGCCCGUUUCCAUUUUCCAUCAGGGUUCAAGAUAUCUAAUCCUUUAAAGACGUUGAUGAUGCUAAGAACAAUCACACUGUAUCCGAUCGAAUGAUG
rnacentral:misc_RNA from 1 species